rnacentral:lncRNA from 1 species
CAUAACCAGGCAGGAUGUCAGCUGAAGUGAAUCAAUGGUAACAGAAUUGUUUUUUAAACAGUAGCAGCAGAAUGUCCUCCAAAGAUGGUCCUACAGCACCAAGAGGUCAUGUUGAUGAUGCAAUUAUUUCCUGGCCUGCACUAAAACCUUUUUUAAACCAUAAAAUGAAAAUGUGAGGCUCAAUACACAUCUUCUACCCUUUUACUGUCAUAGUAAUAAGAAUAAAAACUACUGUUGACAAACUGGGAAAAAGAGAAGAGGUGCAACACCCUCUCAAAUCAGAGGCCAACUUUUUUUGAUCCAUUUUCUCAUCCUCACCUCCUCCAUCCAGGACUUUGGCCCAAUUCCAAUUUUCACUCUUUCCCCUUCCCUUAAAACUGAGGACCAAGGCGACAGAGUGAAAACACACCUCUAAGAAACAAGACGCCACUCAAUUCUGUUUGCCUUGCUGUUUGCUGGGGUGUCGUAGGCUGAUGUGACAAUACGGGUAGACAUGUCGGAAAACAACGCCUACUGUUGUAACGUUUAGCUGUUGUUAGCAUUAGCAGUUGAAAACAACACAUAACAUGGUAUUUUACUCAUACAAGGGCAUAUGUAAAAGCUCCUGAUGUAGCCUUUAGAGUUAGAGGUUACUGAUGUACUGAAUGUAGCUUAGCUGUCUGAUCAUUCCUUUUAAUCAUUAAUAAAAUUCAGUACAUUGUAGGGAAGUCCAUCUGCCGUGAAUUUGUCACCUGAGUCUCACAUCAUUAGCUAUAGCUAACUUAGCUAGCUCAUCAUAACAAGCGAUUUUAAAAAGCAAACAAUUCCAAAUUUGAUAAUAUUUACGUGGAGUUGCAAGGGAUUGAAUAUCUGAUAAAAACAUGAAUGUCAUCACUGUAAAAAUCAUAUCAAGAUCAUACACCUCAAUUUAAAGUGAGGUUCCUUACCCUUAGCCCUUCCCCCCAACCUAAAUGGAGAAUUAGGACACUCCUUUGCUUGACCUAAACCUCAAAAAUGAGGGCUAAGGGUAACAAUUGGUCCUUAGUCUAGGAGAAGUCACUGAAAGGCUUUGGCACGUCCAUGAAAGCGUAUGUCAUUUUCAGUCAUUUUCUGAAACAACUGAUCCCCUAGGUUUUCUUGGAAGGACAGACUUCAGUGCAAAACCCAGAGUCAGCCCUGUGUUAAUAUUAAGCACAGAAUCAGCAUGUUUGCUGAUGAGCUUAACAUUAAUGUUUAAGCUGCUGCUGUGAGACAAUUAUUUCACUAAGCAGCUCUGAUUCUUGCCCUCCAUGGGUUCCAUUUUCGGAUCAACCUUCAAAGGGGUUAUGGCCUGUUUUCUGAUUAACCACAAACAUGAUCCCUAGUAGCCAGAAUGCCCAGAGUCUCACAUCUUCACAGCAAGGAUAUAGACGUAACAAGGCCACAGCAGGUAAUCAAUUAUAUCCUGUAUGGUAUCCUUUCUAUCAUAGUGAGGGAGUAGCAAUUAUGAAAUGUCUAUUGAGGACAGAUUCUUUGGCCAGCUACAGUUCGGACAGGUUUGCAGCCAGACCUUGAAAUCAAUCAUCAUGGCUGAGUGAGGACGUGAAGUUAAUUCCAGUCGAGGCACAAGUGGUAAAGCCUGCUGAAGGAUUCACAGUGUGCUACAAAUUGUACACUCAGGUUUGAGGCUUGGACCUUGGCUUUUUCUGUAAUAAGGACAAUUUUUUCAGGCAACAUCCCAAAUGCUCAGCAGCAAACUUUGCCCCGGCUGUGCAGGGGAGAGUCUAGAUCUUUUUUGACAAAGCUCUUUUUGCCUGUUAGUGUGCCUGUUGGUGGAAGGAAAAGAAAAGAAGAAAACAACAAAAGAUGGAAAUAGCUUCUUAUUCAGAUGGACAUCUGGGCUCAGAGGCUUUAUUAACAAUCCGCAAGGUCCCUCCCCUGCUGUGCCACUAUCCUCUCUCUCUACCCUUUACUUUUACUUUGUCUGCCCUCCUAUACCAGAACCACUGCUUCUGCUGUGCCCUCCAGCACAGUCACAAAUUGACAUGCUGAAUUCCCAACUGGGACAUUAAACCCCAGGGAUCAAGCAUACAGAGAAAGCUUUUUUAUAUCCUCUCUGUUUGGAAGUUGUUUAUGUUCAUCACAUGGUGCACUAGGUGGAUUUCCACACAAAGGACUCAAAUCUGCAACAGCGCUUCAAAGAAAAAAUAUAUUAAAAAAACCUUUUCCCUCCUGAGACCAAAAGGCAGAUGAGGACGACUGGGAUUUAUCUUUACAGACAAAAGCCUCACGUGAAAAGCAAUAUUUAUGUGCUCACAAUGCGACAAGAUGAUGACCCAAACCCAAGUGGCCUAACCAUCACCUGCAAACCAAGAUGGAGAUUGCCGAUUUAAGACGAGGUAUCAAUGCCUUUAUUUGAUCUUCGAGGCAUUAGCUUUAUCACUGUCAUCAUGUCCCACUUCACAUAACAGCCACUCACCUGUCGGCUACUUUAUUGCAGCUGCCAGCACUUCAUUAUUUAUACCUUUUUGAAGGAGAUGAUUAGCCAAGCUGAGAAGGAUAGAUGGGACCAGGUGGAAAACAACGUAAAAACAUGUCAGUUUAAUGGUAGUUCAUAGAUGUAAGAAUGCACUGGUGUUAAAUGCUCCAAAAAUGGCUCCUCAUACCACAAAUAAAGUUCAAUGUUUGACUAAAUUACUUUUCCAAGAGUCAAAGAAGGAGUGCUGUAACUCCUGUUAUAUAUGCUUGCUCAUCUGUUUGAACAUAUUGGGUUGGAAAGGUUCGACUAGGACACAUUAACACAAUGUAUACAUUCUCUCAAACCUACACCUACACACAUGCUCUCCUUGUCUUUUCAGGUCAGCUCAGUAGAGAGCACUCUGCGAUAAUGAGCUGCUCCACUUUCAUGACAGAUGGAAAAUGUGCAGCACGCCGUGCUCCGCUCCUCCCUUCCCUUCUCCACUUUGCCCAGCUCGCCCAGCCAUCUAUCCGCCGAAGCGGUCGCUGCUCCGGCACGGCGUCGUAUCGAAUAAUUGGGACACGCCAAACGAGAGGGGGAGCUGGCCGGUGAGCUGAGGCAGUGGAAAAUCCGCCUCACCCUCUUCAUCAAUAUUUCAGUUUUACCUGGUGAAAGCAAACACCGGCCAACAUAUUCCAUCAUGUCAUUGGAAGCUAGGAUCAGAUGCCUUGGCUUGACAUGCCAACAUUGUUACCUGUACAAAUGAUGACGCAAAGCUUGUUUCAUUAUUCAUGACUUCUUUAAAAGGAGGAGGAGAAGUUUGAAGGGAAUGGAAAGCAGAGGAUGUUCAAGAGUCCAAUUAUCAACAAGAAGGUCUUGUUUGUUCUCGACUGAAAAGGCGAGAAGCUGAGGAAACGUGAACACGAGCUCCUCCUGGUGCAAAAGCCUGGAAAGAUUCACUGCUGGUGCACCCCAAAAAGGACUUUCAAGGUGUUGAUUUCAAUUGAUUAUUGCGUAUUCAGUUAAAGAUUUCCAGCAGAGGAUAAAGAAAUACUCUCACAUGGGUAUGUUAAAAACUUUUCCCCUUAAACUGCAGCAUUGAGAUUCAGCAGGAAGCUGCAUAUUCAACAGACCAUGGACUAAAGAAGACAGAAAUAUGUGGAUCUGUUUCUACCGUUUGGGCAGCCCAAUCGGACUGCCACUCUUCUUUUUCUGCAGGCACCUCUUGCCAAGAAAACCAUAGCAACUAGAGCAAGCAGCAAAACUUUCAAGAUAUUUUCACAAGCAAUGCCGCAGAGC